GUUUCGUGGAAAAGCAACGUGCCUCCCAACCAUAUUAGACAGAACUUGGAAUGUCCAACCAUAUUAUAUCUAUAUUGCAUCUUGUUAAAUACUUUUACACAAGGAUACGUCAAAGGUGAAGUCUUUCCUAUUAUCCAGUAAGAUGUCAAAUUCACAAAGAAUGCAACUAUUCCCGAUACUACAACCAUGAUCUGUAAAUAAUAUAAAAUAUAUCAAAUUCAAGCUUA